rnacentral:rRNA from 1 species
CUACGGGAGGCAGCAGUGGGGAAUAUUGGACAAUGGGGGAAACCCUGAUCCAGCCAUGCCGCGUGUGUGAAGAAGGCCCUCGGGUUGUAAAGCACUUUCAGCGAGGAAGAACGCCUAGCGGUUAAUACCCGCUAGGAAAGACAUCACUCGCAGAAGAAGCACCGGCUAACUCCGUGCCAGCAGCCGCGGUAAUACGGAGGGUGCAAGCGUUAAUCGGAAUUACUGGGCGUAAAGCGCGCGUAGGUGGCUUGAUAAGCCGGUUGUGAAAGCCCCGGGCUCAACCUGGGAACGGCAUCCGGAACUGUCAAGCUAGAGUGCAGGAGAGGAAGGUAGAAUUCCCGGUGUAGCGGUGAAAUGCGUAGAGAUCGGGAGGAAUACCAGUGGCGAAGGCGGCCUUCUGGACUGACACUGACACUGAGGUGCGAAAGCGUGGGUAGCAAACAGGAUUAGAUACCCUGGUAGUCCACGCCGUAAACGAUGUCGACCAGCCGUUGGGUGCCUAGCGCACUUUGUGGCGAAGUUAACGCGAUAAGUCGACCGA